rnacentral:rRNA from 1 species
UACGGAGGGUGCAAGCGUUGUCCGGAUUCAUUGGGUUUAAAGGGUGCGCAGGCGGGACAUUAAGUCAGGGGUGAAAGACGGUUGCUCAACAAUCGCAGUGCCUUUGAUACUGGUGUUCUUGGGUAACCUUGAGGUAGGCGGAAUGGGUGGUGUAGCGGUGAAAUGCAUAGAUACCACCCAGAACCUCGAUUGCGAAGGCAGCCUACUGGAGGUCAACCGACGCUCAGGCACGAAAGCGUGGGGAUCAAACAGG